UGUAAUUCAUUCCCAAGACUUCAUUUGACUUUGAGCGUGUGCAUCUCGAACUUGCAUUCAUCAAAAUCAAGGGUAGGAUCCUCCUUGAUCCAUGUCGGGUGCAUCCAGAAGCCGAGUGUCGGGCGCAACCCCGACGCUCUACGGAUUGACAGGCUGGCAAUCGGGUGGGCGCUGGACCUGACCCCUCGCCACGUCGCCGGGAGGACUCUUGGCUCACCAAAGUGGCGAAAGCACUGCCGAGGUAGCAAACGGGCGGCGAGCCAUUUUGGCCGGCGGCUUAGUGCGCCUUGAGCAGCAGGCGCCCAACUGAUGCACCAUAGCUGAUCGACAUACAUUGCCUUAGCCACCCCCUGCGCUCAGGGUGUUUGAUGAAAUGACGCUUGAGGUUGUGUAGCUGAAGAGCAGGUUCCAUCACACCAGAAAUUUGCCAGGCGAUCGUCCCCAUGGUUCAUCUGCAGACUCCCUCUGUAAUAGGAUAUCUUGUUUCCAGGUUUGUAUUUUCUUGUUGGCAUUUUUUUUCUAUUGAUACACACUGAAAUGUGGAAUGGUUUUUAAAAGGCAAAACUGUGGAAUGUUUCUUUUCUGUGAUCUUUACGCAUGUACAUAUUCAUGAUUAUUCUCCGCACCAAAUACUCUGAACUGGUUGUAUUACAUAAUUUCAGGUAUGAAUCUGAUCAAUACAUGUGCAAUGAAACCAUUAGUCCAUCUGUUGUAUUUAUUUCAGUUGUGGUUUCUGUGCUGGUGGUGACUGUACUUGUGCUUUCAUAUUCGAUCUGGAGACAGAAAAUAAAACUUAAUAAUGUGUGUGCUCUUAUACAUUGUUAUAACAUGUAUUAUUGAUUAUUAAGGUUUUACUGUCUUGCUAUUUAUGCUAUAUAUAUAUUUUUAGAAUAAUUUAUGCUAAAUAUCUGACAUUUGUGCCACCAGUUUCUACACAAGAUCCUCCCAGAGUGGAAAAGGUCAGAAAAUUUUCAUGCGAACCACCUGCAAAAUAAUACGAAUUUCCGGUUCACACCACUUUGACCUGGAGAAGUUUAUGAAUAAGUUCUAAAGUUUCAUUGGAGAAGGAGCAUUUGGGCUUGUAUACUAUGGCCGUUUAGGAGAUGACACUAAGCAUGCUAUCAAGAUGCAUUCUGAAUCUGUCUCACUCUCGCAUGGAAUUGAUGAGUUUUUAGCAGAGUUACCAAAUUAUAAAAUUUACGGUCAGGGCCUCUACUGCCGUUUCAGUUGAAAAAAGUUACGAAAUGUGCACCUAAAAACUUCAUGAUUUCAGGAUCUUGUCGACCCUUAAUAAAAUUUACUGUUGAGACCUCCCCUACAGUUUCAGUUCAAGAAGUUAUUAAAUUAUGCACCUAAAAAAGUUCAAGAUUUCAGAAUCUUCCAGUGGUGUAUGUGCCAUAGUACAUAGGACAACUUGUCGUUUCUCCUUGGGUGAGAAACAAUUGAAGUUUGUAAUGUAGGCUCAGCGAGUCGCAUUCGCGGUGAGAUUACUGAAACAUUAAGAGAUUUUCUUUAUGUUCUUUGUGACCACUAUACUUGGAGUCUAACCAGGCACUUAAAUGUUCAGUCUCUAUAUAAUCUGAAUGCUGAAAGGGUUACUAGUAAGUGAUAUUUUCUGCUUGUAAUUGACAUCUGUGGUUCAUUGACACAGUUGAUAAAAUUAGAUAAUUUCUUGCUACAUUCCAUAAAACUGAAUUUUCAUGAAUGCUCAUUUUGUUUUUCAGGCACCUGCCAUUGUCUAUCUCUGCAGCUUGAUAGUAUCUCCUGUUACAUGUCUGAGUAUCUAAGUUUAAAUUACUAUUUUCUUCCUCAACUCAAUGAGGGUUUGUUUCCUUGAAGGAACCAGCUCAAUGGAAUUCUACACUGUUUAUAGGAGACUAGAUGGUUGAGUUGACCAUUAUGCCUCCGCUGGAGCAAUGCUUUGGAUAUUGCCGGGUGUUACGAUUGUUUUUUUACAACUUCAUCAUUUAUGCCCCGUCAGUCACAAUAGGAGCUGCCAGUACAUUUAUUACGGUCAGUAGUAUCGGCAAUGGAAGGCAAUUUAGUAGAAGAAGAUCCAAACGGUCGUGCUUUUAUGUGUGGCUCAUUAAUAAUCAUGUGGCAUGCCUUAAUGCCUUUGUAUAUUCUGAAGUCCCAUCUUAGUGUUCAUCAUCAUCAUGAGAAUUUGGUACUCUUGUUGCAGUAUAAUGAGAGUUCUAUUUUUGCAUGGCAGGAAGCACCAAAGAUGAGGGAGAAUCCCGCGAAGACCUCUAGUGGAGGCAGAGCGUCUUCUUGAGUACUAAUUCUUGCUGGUAGAACUUGCACUGCAGAUCAUCACUCAUGUACAUGUUCCAUGGAGCUAUUAACAACCUGCCACGUGGGAAAACAAAUUCAGACAGACAUGAUCGAUUGGUUCCCUUAUACUCCCUCUGUAAAGAAAUAUAAGAGCGUUUAGAUCACUAAAACUUUACGGAGGGAGUAAUAUAUAGUCUGGAUAAAUGUUAGAGGGCCAACAUAGAAGGCAGAAGGGUACUCGGCAAGAUUUUGAGUAUAAAUUAGAAGUAGCACAGAAGUUGAAACCUACUAAUAGUCAUACCUCAUACGUAGCUGUAUAAAUUCAUCACCUUGUUCCUGUAAAUGUAGCUUAAUCACAUUGUUACAAAUACAGUGUGGUGUUUACUUAGGGCUUUGUUUUGCAUGAUUGAUUUCACCAUCUGGUUUCCAGAUUAGGGACUGAAAACAGGAACAAAACCUUGCCUGCUAUCAUGUGCUAUUUCUGGCAGAUUAGGCAGUUGGUUUCAUCCCUCAUAGCACAAAGCUAGAAUGUUAACUGAUAGCCAGCGCGCAUGCAUGUGAUGUGUGUUUAAUUAGUGCAAGUCGAAGGAGACAAGGCAAGUUGGUUUUAGGAAAAGACAAGGUAGAGUGGAGGCCGUUUCAUUCUUUUCGGGUUUCGUUUGGAAGGCCGUUUCAUCACGAAUUUUGUUUUUCAGGCACCUGCUAAUGCUAUUGCCUAUGUCUGCAGCUUGAUGAUAUCCUAUUGCCUAUGUCUGCAGCUUGAUGAUAUAUUGAUAUCUAUCGUGUUAUCUAGUAUUUGCAUUUUAAUGUAUCCCUUUUCUUUCUCAACUCAGGAAUUCUAUGAGACUAGA